CAGUCGCCACGGGAAUACGAAGGGUGCAAGCGUUACUCGGAAUUACUGGGCGUAAAGCGUGCGUAGGUGGUGGUUUAAGUCCGUUGUGAAAGCCCUGGGCUCAACCUGGGAAUUGCAGUGGAUACUGGGUCACUAGAGUGUGGUAGAGGAUAGUGGAAUUUCCGGUGUAGCAGUGAAAUGCGUAGAGAUCUGGAGGAAUACCGAUGGCGAAGGCAGCCAUCUGGCCUAAUACUGACGCUGAGGUACGAAAGCAUGGGGAGCAAACAGGAUUAGAUACCCCCGUAGUCCCUGUCUCUUAUAC
rnacentral:rRNA from 1 species